GGGUUGUGAGGUUAAGCGACUAAGCGUACACGGUGGAUGCCCUGGCAGUCAGAGGCGAUGAAGGACGUGCUAAUCUGCGAUAAGCGUCGGUAAGGUGAUAUGAACCGUUAUAGCCGGCGAUUUCCGAAUGGGGAAACCCAGUGUGAUUCGUCACACUAUCAUUGCGUGAAUACAUAGCGUAAUGAAGCGAACCGGGGGAACUGAAACAUCUAAGUACCCCGAGGAAAAGAAAUCAACCGAGAUUCCCCCAGUAGCGGCGAGCGAACGGGGAGCAGCCCAGAACCUGAAUCAGUUUGUGUGUUAGUGGAAGCGUCUGGAAAGUCGCAGGGUACAGGGUGAUACUCCCGUACACUAAAAUGCACAUACUGUGAGUUCGAAGAGUAGGGCGGGACACGUGGUAUCCUGUCUGAAUAUGGGGGGACCAUCCUCCAAGGCUAAAUACUCCUGACUGACCGAUAGUGAACCAGUACCGUGAGGGAAAGGCGAAAAGAACCCCGGCGAGGGGAGUGAAAAAGAACCUGAAACCGUGUACGUACAAGCAGUGGGAGCCUCUUUAUGGGGUGACUGCGUACCUUUUGUAUAAUGGGUCAGCGACUUAUAUUCUGUAGCAAGGUUAACCGUAUAGGGGAGCCGCAGGGAAACCGAGUCUUAACUGGGCGUUAAGUUGCAGGGUAUAGACCCGAAACCCGGUGAUCUAGCCAUGGGCAGGUUGAAGGUUGGGUAACACUAACUGGAGGACCGAACCGACUAAUGUUGAAAAAUUAGCGGAUGACUUGUGGCUGGGGGUGAAAGGCCAAUCAAACCGGGAGAUAGCUGGUUCUCCCCGAAAGCUAUUUAGGUAGCGCCUCGGACGAAUACUAUUGGGGGUAGAGCACUGUUAAGGCUAGGGGGUCAUCCCGACUUACCAACCCUUUGCAAACUCCGAAUACCAAUGAGUACUAUACGGGAGACACACGGCGGGUGCUAACGUCCGUCGUGAAAAGGGAAACAACCCAGACCAUCAGCUAAGGUCCCAAAGUCAUGGUUAAGUGGGAAACGAUGUGGGAAGGCUUAGACAGCUAGGAUGUUGGCUUAGAAGCAGCCAUCAUUUAAAGAAAGCGUAAUAGCUCACUAGUCGAGUCGGCCUGCGCGGAAGAUUUAACGGGGCUAAGCAAUACACCGAAGCUAUGGGUUUGCUAGUUUACUGGCAAGCGGUAGAGGAGCGUUCUGUAAGCCGUUGAAGGCGAAGGGGUAACCCACGCUGGAGGUAUCAGAAGUGCGAAUGCUGACAUGAGUAACGAUAAAGGGAGUGAAAAACUCCCUCGCCGAAAGACCAAGGGUUCCUGUCCAACGUUAAUCGGGGCAGGGUGAGUCGACCCCUAAGGCGAGGCCGAAAGGCGUAGUCGAUGGGAAACAGGUUAAUAUUCCUGUACUUGGUGUUACUGCGAAGGGGGGACGGAGAAGGCUAUGUUAGCCGGGCGACGGUUGUCCCGGUUUAAGCAUGUAGGCGGGAAGUUUAGGUAAAUCCGGACUUCUGUUAACGCUGAGGUGUGAUGACGAGGCACUACGGUGCUGAAGUAACAAAUGCCCUGCUUCCAGGAAAAGCCUCUAAGCAUCAGGUAACAUUAAAUCGUACCCCAAACCGACACAGGUGGUCAGGUAGAGAAUACCAAGGCGCUUGAGAGAACUCGGGUGAAGGAACUAGGCAAAAUGGUGCCGUAACUUCGGGAGAAGGCACGCUGUCGGUAAGUGAAACCCCUCGCGGGUGGAGCUGAAGGCAGUCGAAGAUACCAGCUGGCUGCAACUGUUUAUUAAAAACACAGCACUGUGCAAACACGAAAGUGGACGUAUACGGUGUGACGCCUGCCCGGUGCCGGAAGGUUAAUUGAUGGGGUUAUCCGUAAGGAGAAGCUCUUGAUCGAAGCCCCGGUAAACGGCGGCCGUAACUAUAACGGUCCUAAG
rnacentral:rRNA from 1 species